rnacentral:rRNA from 1 species
CAGCCGCCGCGGUAAUACGGAGGGAGCUAGCGUUGUUCGGAAUUACUGGGCGUAAAGCGCGCGUAGGCGGUUACUCAAGUCAGAGGUGAAAGCCCGGGGCUCAACCCCGGAACUGCCUUUGAAACUAGGUGACUAGAAUCUUGGAGAGGUCAGUGGAAUUCCGAGUGUAGAGGUGAAAUUCGUAGAUAUUCGGAAGAACACCAGUGGCGAAGGCGACUGACUGGACAAGUAUUGACGCUGAGGUGCGAAAGCGUGGGGAGCAAACAGGAUUAGAUACCCCUGUAGUCCCUGUCUCUUAUAC